rnacentral:rRNA from 1 species
AUUGAACGCUGGCGGCAGGCCUAACACAUGCAAGUCGAACGGAGCGGCGGACGGGUGAGUAAUGCCUAGGAAUCUGGCUUGUGGAGGGGGAUAACGUCGGGAAACGGGCGCUAAUACCGCAUACUAUCAGAUGAGCCUAGGUGGGAUUAGCUAGUUGGUGGGGUAAAGGCUUACCAAGGCGACGAUCCCUAACUGGUCUGAGAGGAUGACCAGUCACACUGGAACUGAGACACGGCCCAGACUCCUACGGGAGGCAGCAGUGGGGAAUAUUGGACAAUGGGGGCAAGCCUGACGCAGCCAUGCCGCGUGUGUGAAGAAGGUCUUCGGAUUGUAAAGCACUUUAAGUUGGGAGGCGUUACCAACAGAAGAAGCACCGGCUAACUUCGUGCCAGCAGCCGCGGUAAUAC